rnacentral:tRNA from 2 species
GGUAGUGUGGCCAAGGGGUCUAAGGUGCUGGAUUUAGGUUCCAGUCUCUUCGGGGGCGUGGGUUCAAAUCCCACCGCUGCCA